CCUACGGGAGGCAGCAGUGAGGAAUAUUGGACAAUGGGCGCAAGCCUGAUCCAGCCAUGCCGCGUGCAGGAUGACGGUCCUAUGGAUUGUAAACUGCUUUUAUACGGGAAGAAACCCUGGCUCGUGAGCCAGAUUGACGGUACCGUAGGAAUAAGGAUCGGCUAACUCCGUGCCAGCAGCCGCGGUAAU
rnacentral:rRNA from 1 species